rnacentral:rRNA from 1 species
GUGUCAGCAGCCGCGGUAAUACGUAUGGGGCAAGCGUUGUUCGGAUUUAUUGGGCGUAAAGGGCGUGUAGGCGGCUCAUCAAGUCUGGUGUGAAAUCGCAGGGCUUAACCCUGCAUAUGCGCUGGAAACUGGUGGGCUUGAGUUCUUGAGGGGAAGCUGGAAUUCCAGGUGUAGGGGUGAAAUCUGUAGAUAUCUGGAAGAACACCGGUGGCGAAGGCGAGCUUCUAUCAGAGGACUGACGCUGAGGCGCGAAAGCGUGGGGAGCAAACAGGAUUAGAUACCCUGGUAGUCCACGCUGUAAACGAUGUGCACUAGGCGUGGGGCCCGUACGGGUUCUGUGCCGUAGUUAACGUGGUAAGUGCACCGCCUGGGGAGUAUGCUCGCAAGGGUGAA